rnacentral:rRNA from 1 species
AGGGUUGCAUACGAUGAGAUACUAGCUUCUGUUGAACGCGGUGAUGGGGGUGUGUUCUUUGUUGAUGGACCGGGAGGUACAGGGAAGACCUUCCUGUACAGGGCGCUGCUCGCCAAGGUUCGAAGCGAGGGAAACAUCGCUAUCGCUACCGCGACGUCAGGCGUCGCCGCUUCUAUCAUGCCUGGAGGCAGGACUGCCCACUCGAGGUUCAAGAUCCCAUUGAGCUGCGACGAUGGCGCCUCAUGCACCUUCACGAAACAGAGUGGUACCGCCAAGCUACUGAGGAUGGCCUCAUUGAUACUAUGGGACGAGGCCACCAUGACUAAGAGACAGGCAGUCGAGGCACUUGACAACAGCAUGCGCGACAUCAUGGGAAGACGGGACCGACCCUUUGGAGGAAAAACUGUUGUGUUUGGCGGGGACUUCAGGCAGGUGCUUCCGGUCGUCAGGAGGGGGUCCCGGGGUCAGAUAAUCGAUGCAACCCUUCCAAGUUCACACCUCUGGAAGGGUAUGCGCCAGCUAAGGCUCGUCACCAACAUGAGGGCUCAUAAUGACACCUGGUUUGCGGAUUACUUGCUAAGGGUAGGCAAUGGCACUGAGGAAGUUGACGAUCAAGGAAACAUACGACUCCCUGAAGAUAUUUGUGUGCCGUCUACAGGCGAGGGUGAUGACCUGGAGAAGCUGAUUGACCAUGUGUUUCCCAGACUAGAUGACAACAUGUCCGAUCCGAAUUACAUGACUUCACGCGCAAUCCUCUCCACCACGAACGACAACGUCGACAAGAUAAACAUACGCAUGGUAGAGCAUUUUUGGGGAGAAGAAGUAAUCUACCAUAGCUUUGACAGUGCAGAAGACGACCCGUAUGGCUACUACGCUCCCGAGUUCCUAAAUGGAUUGACUCCCAACGGUCUGCCUCCGCAUGCACUCAAACUGAAGCUCAACUGCCCCGUCAUACUUCUGAGGAACAUUGAUCCGGCUAAUGGUCUGUGUAACGGGACGAGGCUUGUGGUGCGAGGUUUCGAGAGGAACGCCAUCGACGCAAAAAUCGUGAUCGGACAACACGCAGGUAGGAGGGUAUUCCUUCCUCGAAUACCCCUAUGCCCGUCUGACAACGACAUGUUUCCAUUCAAGUUCAAGAGGAAGCAAUUUCCUGUAAGGCUUAGCUUUGCUAUGACGAUUAACAAGGCUCAAGGCGAGACGAUUCCGAUUGUUGGCGUGUACCUACCUAAUCCUGUGUUCUCUCAUGGUCAACUCUAUGUCGCACUGUCUCGAGCCACCGCAAAGAGGAACAUAAAGAUCCUCAUUGAGAAGGAGAAGGAGAAGGAGAAUGCCAAGAAGCAAAGCGGUAAACCUAAGAAGCGAAAAAGACCUGCCUUGUCCUUACAAACCUCGAUGAAGAACAUCGUCUAUAAGGAAGUCCUU